GAUCUGGCUCAGGAUGAACGCUGGCGGCGUGCUUAACACAUGCAAGUCGAACGGAACUCCUAUGAUUGAGGUUUUCGGCCAAAAGAAUAGGAUGUUUAGUGGCGGACGGGUGAGUAGCGCGUGAGUAACCUGCCUUGGAGUGGGGAAUAACACAGUGAAAACUGUGCUAAUACCGCAUAAUGCAUUUGGGUCGCAUGAUUCUGAAUGCCAAAGAUUUAUCGGCUCUGAGAUGGG
rnacentral:rRNA from 1 species